GACGAACGCUGGCGGCGUGCUUAACACAUGCAAGUCGAACGGUGAACGAGGGAGCUUGCUCCCUCCGGAUCAGUGGCGAACGGGUGAGUAACACGUGAGCAAUCUGCCCUGGACUCUGGGAUAAGCGUUGGAAACGACGUCUAAUACCGGAUACGAGGCGUGGGGGCAUCCCCAACGCCUGGAAAGAACUUCGGUCCAGGAUGAGCUCGCGGCCUAUCAGCUUGUUGGUGAGGUAACGGCUCACCAAGGCGACGACGGGUAGCCGGCCUGAGGGGGUGACCGGCCACACUGGGACUGAGACACGGCCCAGACUCCUACGGGAGGCAGCAGUGGGGAAUAUUGCACAAUGGGCGCAAGCCUGAUGCAGCAACGCCGCGUGAGGGACGACGGCCUUCGGGUUGUAAACCUCUUUUAGCAGGGAAGAAGCGAAAGUGACGGUACCUGCAGAAAAAGCACCGGCUAACUACGUGCCAGCAGCCGCAGUAAGAC
rnacentral:rRNA from 1 species